rnacentral:tRNA from 1 species
AGGGGUUUAGGAUAACAAAAGACCGAGAGCCUUCAAAGCCCUAAGCAAGUGUGAAAUACUUAACCCCUG